UCCUUUUCUUUUCUUUCUCCCCAACGCCGUUUCCUUUUUCCUCUCCCCGUGCGCCCGACGCCGACAGUUUCCCCUCUGCUCACGAUUAAAGCCGAAAUCCGAUCCUCUCCUUAUCUCCCUCGUGCGCACGCCCUUAACCUUCUGCCGUCGGCGACGAGAGCCCGACUCUUCUCCUCUUCAUCUUCUUCAUCGCGCCGGCCGUUGUGCCCUAGAUCGGCGCCGCACGGAGCAGCACCGACCCUCCACAGAUCGCCUCUUCUGUGCCGGCCACCAGGUUCGACCUAGCGUCGACCUUUCUCCUCUACCUAGCGCCGGACAACAUUGCCAUUGUCUGGUCCCUGGGCACCGACCGAAGCUUCCCUUUCCCCUUGCGCCAAGCAGUAGCGUUUCUGCCCUAGAUUGGGUCCACAACCGUCGGCGCCUCUUCCCGGUGCCUCUUUCUUUCCAAGCAGUGAGCAACAACCCUAAUUUGGCAGCAACUUUGUGUUUCCAACAGCAGGAACGGCUGUGGAACUUGAGGGUAUUUGGUUUAGAGAGCAGCACCAUUUACCUCGUUUCAGUCAGGUUUAUUGGCUGCAGGUUGUCUCCGGUUGUGGAUUCACACAGGGGCUGAACUUGAGGACGUUGACGCGAGACGAGUAUCUCAGUGUCUGAUUAGAACCAUUCUAUUGGAGGCGAG